GAUGAAGGCUGGCGGCGUGCCUAAUACAUGCAAGUCGAGCGAACAGACGAGGAGCUUGCUCCUUUGACGUUAGCGGCGGACGGGUGAGUAACACGUAGGUAACCUACCUAUAAGACUGGGAUAACUUCGGGAAACCGGAGCUAAUACCGGAUAAUAUUUCGAACCGCAUGGUUCGAUAGUGAAAGAUGGCUUUGCUAUCACUUAUAGAUGGACCUGCGCCGUAUUAGCUAGUUGGUAAGGUAACGGCUUACCAAGGCAACGAUACGUAGCCGACCUGAGAGGGUGAUCGGCCACACUGGAACUGAGACACGGUCCAGACUCCUACGGGAGGCAGCAGUAGGGAAUCUUCCGCAAUGGGCGAAAGCCUGACGGAGCAACGCCGCGUGAGUGAUGAAGGUCUUCGGAUCGUAAAACUCUGUUAUUAGGGAAGAACAAACGUGUAAGUAACUGUGCACGUCUUGACGGUACCUAAUCAGAAAGCCACGGCUAACUACGUG
rnacentral:rRNA from 1 species